ACGGGAACACGGAGCCACCAUGGAGCCUCGAAAUCAGUUGCCUGGACACCCGAAAGAAAUGACCCGUCCGGCCAGCCUCUGGAGUCGUUUGCUGGAACUCUUAUUGUGGUUAAACGUGGUCCUGGCUGUCCUAACGUUCUUCGUAGCUGGAAUGACAAUCGACCGCUAUUUGAAGUUCUCUGGAACUGGAACCUACAAACAGAUGCACGUUCCGGCGCAGAGGGAGCAUCUUCCAAAGAGCUUCUACGACUCGGACGAACUUUCUGGGUACAGCUAUGAUAUAGUGCCGGACAUACUGCACUUGGUUAGGUACAAUGCGACCGAAGUGGACUUUAUUGACGUGGUGGCCUUCCGCUCCAUGUAUCUGAACCACCGGCCCGAAAAGAUAUACGUUCACUGCAGUCCUUGCGGCUUUCAAGGCAACUACACUCGCUUUCUGGAAGGCAUCAACUUCACCUUCAUCCCAGCUGUUUUCCCCACAGAGGUUUUCGGCAUUCCCAUAAAGGUAUCUCACCACGCUACUGACGUGCUCCGUCUGAGAGCCCUGAUGCGCUACGGAGGAUACUACUGCGACAAAGACGUGUUCGUGAUUCAAUCCCUGCGACGCUUCCUGCGAUACGAGGCAAGCCUCAACUUUGAGGGCGGAGUCAACAUGGGAAACAUGGUGAUGUUCUUUCACAAGAAUUCGCGCUUCCUUCGGCUCUACCUAGACACCUAUCGCCGAACGGGAACACGGAGCCAUCAUGGAGCCACGAAAUCAGUUGCCUGGACACCCGAAAGAAAUGACCCGUCCGGCCGGCCUCUGGAGUCGUUUGCUGGAACUCUUAUUGUGGUUAAACGUGGUCCUGGCUGUCCUAACGUUCUUCGUAGCUGGAAUGACAAUCGACCGCUAUUUGAAGUUCUCUGGAACUGGAACCUACAAACAGAUGCACGUUCCGGCGCAGAGGGAGCAUCUUCCAAAGAGCUUCUACGACUCGGACGAACUUUCUGGGUACAAUGCGACCGAAGUGGACUUUAUUGACGUGGUGGCCUUCCGCUCCAUGUAUCUGAACCACCGGCCCGAAAAGAUAUACGUUCACUGCAGUCCUUGCGGCUUUCAAGGCAACUACACUCGCUUUCUGGAAGGCAUCAACUUCACCUUCAUCCCAGCUGUUUUCCCCACAGAGGUUUUCGGCAUUCCCAUAAAGGUAUCUCACCACGCUACUGACGUGCUCCGUCUGAGAGCCCUGAUGCGCUACGGAGGAUACUACUGCGACAAAGACGUGUUCGUGAUUCAAUCCCUGCGACGCUUCCUGCGAUACGAGGCAAGCCUCAACUUUGAGGGCGGAGUCAACAUGGGAAACAUGGUGAUGUUCUUUCACAAGAAUUCGCGCUUCCUUCGGCUCUACCUAGACACCUAUCGCCGGUAAGUUGGCUGCCACUUCUGUACUACUUUACUACUACGGAUACUACUUUCUCCCCUGAGAAGCAGGUUCGAUGGUUCGGAGCGAAUAGAAUCGCCCUAGUAUAGGGGCCUACAGUCAACAUAACUGACUCCGGAGAAAGGGAAAAAAAAGGCUACUGCACAGCGCUCAUGCAUCGAAGCGGAAACCGCUAACGCGCCGCCAUGAUGCAGCAAUUUGAUGUUUGC